rnacentral:rRNA from 1 species
UACGGAGGGGGCUAGCGUUGUUCGGAAUUACUGGGCGUAAAGCGUGCGCAGGCGGUUUUGUAAGCCAGAUGUGAAAGCCCCGGGCUUAACCUGGGAAUGGCAUUUGGGACUGCAAGGCUGGAGUACGGCAGAGGGAGGUGGAAUUCCAGGUGUAGCAGUGAAAUGCGUAGAUAUCUGGAGGAACACCGAUGGCGAAGGCAGCCUCCUGGGCUAGUACGUGACGCUCAUGCACGAAAGCUGGGGAGCAACAGG